AUCCACAUGCCAACUUUCUAAAAAGCAUAUUAAUCCUUGCCUAAUUAUUCUCUCAAGUACUCUUUAUAUUUGUUUCCCUUGACAUAUCUCUUGAUACCACGAUUUCACCACUGUCACAAACUCAAAGCUCUGUUGAAUCCUCAUAAAUCCAGGGAAUUUGCAGGCGAUAUGGGCACGGAAGCACCAAGCUGGGCAGAUCAAUGGGGCGCUGGAGGCAUAGGCGCCGUAGAAGAAGUUGACACUCUUGAGAACAAUAAAGAUGGUGGUAAUAAGAAGAAAGGGACAAGUUCUUCGGCAGGACUGAGCAAGGCCAAAGCAGUAGCCGUUGGCGGAGCACAGAAGGUCAAGAACGGAACCACGAUGGGGAUCAAAUGGAUCAAGAACAAGGUUCAGAAGAAAAACACAGAUGCAAAUUCACAUAAUUGAAUAAUCUCUGUAAAUCUUGGUAGUUUUUGCUGGCAAUCAAGCGUGUAGUUGUUACAUUCAAGUCAUGUACUCGUCUCCAGAAAUAACAUACCAGGGUCCUUUGAUUAUACAA